GAAAUGCGAUAAGUAAUGUGAAUUGCAGAAUUCAGUGAAUCAUCGAAUCUUUGAACGCACAUUGCGCCCUCUGGUACUCCGGGGGGCAUGCCUGUUCGAGCGUCAUUUCACCAAUCAAGCCUGGCUUGGUAUUGGGCCACGGGGGCGACCCGGACCCGAAAUCUUUCGGCUGGCAACCCGUAUCUCAGCGUUGUGGCAAUCAAUUCGCUGUCGAGAAGGGGAGUCUGCGCCGUUAAACCUCUAUUCAAGGUUGACCUCGGAUCAGGUAGGGAUACCCGCUGAACUUAA
rnacentral:misc_RNA from 1 species